rnacentral:rRNA from 1 species
GGAGGUCACUGCUAUUGGGAUUCGACUAAGCCAUGCGAGUCGAGAGGGUUCGGCCCUCGGCUGACGGCUCAGUAACACGUGGAUAAUCUGCCCUUAGGUGGAGGAUAAUCUCGGGAAACUGAGGAUAAUACUCCAUAGAUCUAGGAUGCUGGAAUGCAUUUAGAUUGAAAGCUCCGGCGCCUAAGGAUGAGUCUGCGGACUAUCAGGUUGUAGUCAGGAUAAAGACCUGACUAGCCUAUGACGGAUACGGGUUGUGAGAGCAAUAACCCGGAGACGAUAUCUGAGACACGAUAUCGGGCCCUACGGGGCGCAGCAGGCGCGAAAACUUCACACUGUGCGAAAGCGCGAUGAGGGAAUCCCAAGUGCUUACUCGUAAGAGUAAGCUGUUUCUUUGUCUAAAAAGCAGAGAGAGU